UUCAUUGUUGUGCUUCUUGUCAGGUGGCAAAGUACUCCGCUUAAGAGAGAAUCGUUUCACAAAGGUUCUAUUAACAGCAUGUCUGCAACUCUAUCAAAAUAGCACAAUGUAUCAGACAAAAUAGAAUAUACAGUAAGAUGUUAUCUGAU